GGGCGAUUGGCUCAGCGGUAGAGCGCUUCCCUGACACGGAAGAGGUCACUGGUUCGAUCCCAGUAUCGCCCACCA
rnacentral:tRNA from 2 species